rnacentral:rRNA from 1 species
GUAGUCCACGCCGUAAACGAUGUCGACUUGGAGGUUGUGCCCUUGAGGCGUGGCUUCCGGAGCUAACGCGUUAAGUCGACCGCCUGGGGAGUACGGCCGCAAGGUUAAAACUCAAAUGAAUUGACGGGGGCCCGCACAAGCGGUGGAGCAUGUGGUUUAAUUCGAUGCAACGCGAAGAACCUUACCUACUCUUGACAUCCAGAGAACUUAGCAGAGAUGCUUUGGUGCCUUCGGGAACUCUGAGACAGGUGCUGCAUGGCUGUCGUCAGCUCGUGUUGUGAAAUGUUGGGUUAAGUCCCGCAACGAGCGCAACCCUUAUCCUUUGUUGCCAGCGGUCCGGCCGGGAACUCAAAGGAGACUGCCAGUGAUAAACUGGAGGAAGGUGGGGAUGACGUCAAGUCAUCAUGGCCCUUACGAGUAGGGCUACACACGUGCUACAAUGGCGCAUACAAAGAGAAGCGACCUCGCGAGAGCAAGCGGACCUCAUAAAGUGCGUCGUAGUCCGGAUUGGAGUCUGCAACUCGACUCCAUGAAGUCGGAAUCGCUAGUAAUCGUGGAUCAGAAUGCCACGGUGAAUACGUUCCCGGGCCUUGUACACACCGCCCGUCACACCAUGGGAGUGGGU